GGGCAUGUGGCUCAGUGGUAAAGUGCUUGCCUUGCAUGCAUGAAGCCCUGGGUUUGAUUCCUCAGCACCA
rnacentral:tRNA from 1 species